UACGUAGGGUGCAAGCGUUAAUCGGAAUUACUGGGCGUAAAGCGUGCGCAGGCGGUUCUAUAAGACAGAUGUGAAAUCCCCGGGCUCAACCUGGGAACUGCAUUUGUGACUGUAGAGCUGGAGUACGGCAGAGGGGGAUGGAAUUCCGCGUGUAGCAGUGAAAUGCGUAGAUAUGCGGAGGAACACCGAUGGCGAAGGCAGCCCCCUGGGUCAAGACUGACGCUCAUGCACGAAAGCGUGGGGAGCAAACAGG
rnacentral:rRNA from 1 species